rnacentral:rRNA from 1 species
ACUCCUACGGGAGGCAGCAGGCGCGAAAACUUUACAAUGCCGGCAACGGCGAUAAGGGGACCUCGAGUGCCAGGUUACAAAUCUGGCUGUCGUGAUGCCUAAAAAGCAUUGCAUAGCAAGGGCCGGGCAAGACCGGUGCCAGCCGCCGCGGUAACACCGGCGGCUCGAGUGGUAACCGUUAUUAUUGGGUCUAAAGGGUCUGUAGCCGGCCGGAUAAGUCUCUUGAGAAAUCCAGCAGCUCAACUGUUGGGCUUUCAGGAGAUACUGUUCGGCUCGAGGCCGGGAGAGGUGAGAGGUACUUCAGGGGUAGGGGUGAAAUCUUGUAAUCCUUGAAGGACCACCAGUGGCGAAGGCGUCUCACCAGAACGGACCUGACGGCAAGGGACGAAAGCUAGGGGCACGAACCGGAUUAGAUACCCGGGUAGUCCUAGCCGUAAACGAUACUCGCUAGGUGUCGGCCACGGUGCGACCGUUGUCGGUGCCGUAGGGAAGCCGUGAAGCGAGCCACCUGGGAAGUACGGCCGCAAGGCUGAAACUCAAAGGAAUUGACGG